rnacentral:pre_miRNA from 1 species
AUGUGUCACUUUUCGGAUUUCGAGAUUCAAACAAGUCUAUCUUUGACCGUAAGUUUUCAUAGAUCUUUUAAACAUUUUGAAUUAUCAAUUAUUGUGACUUAUAGUACUUUUUAUGUAGUUUACAAAUAUAGAAAUUUCAUUUUAAAAAAAAUGAAGAUUUCAUGCGCAAAUUUUCGGUCAAACUUAAACUGCUGGACUCUCGAAAAACGAAAAGUGUCACAUAA